rnacentral:tRNA from 1 species
GCCUGGGUGGCUUAGUUGGUUGGGCGUCUGACUUCAGCUCAGGUCAUGAUCUCACAGCUCGUGAGUUUGAGCCCCGCGUCAGGCU